rnacentral:lncRNA from 1 species
GACAAAAUAAGGAAUAAAAAUUUUCAAACUUAGAACGAAACUAAAAACAUGGAUUGAGAGUAUUAUGUGAACCAUCUUUGAUUCUUUGUGAACCUGUGGGGUUAUAAUGGAAGCACACAACUUGAAUUGGACGAAAAGUGGAAAUAGUAAUGUUGCUGGAAUAGUUCAUUAUGCUUAUGAGUAAUUCACGUGAAACUAAGAAUUGUCUUAUUAUCAUAUUAAGCUCAGUUCUGUGAUGCUUUAAUCGACUACAGGUCCGGUUGCAAUAGCAGCAGCCUCAUUAGGUACUCGGUUAAGUGGAACUCAUUAUAGUUUGACACUUUGCUAUAAACAACAACACCAAAGUUUAAGAUCUCUGACACAGGUAAAUUUCAUUAUUGUUUUCGAGUUUUUUGGUUAUUUUCAAAAAGCUAUUUAAUUUAUAGAAUUGGGUUAACAACUUUUCAGGAUUCAGUUUUGCAUACUCAUUCCCCUUGUAGAACACUCCCACAAUCUUCUUCUUUUCACCUGACACCUAUUUUCAAUCAUAGGGAAAAGUAAAUAAAUCAAUCACAGUCAUGCAUAAACAGAGUUGAAGGAAACAAUAUUAAUCAUGAUGUUGCAUGAGCAUAAAUAAUUAAACAUUCAUUAACACACAUUUUUUGAGGAUGUGUUGUAGAGUGGGGUAACAACGGUUUCUUGAGUAGUUGUUGUCUGGACUUCAACUAGGUAUUCUUGUGCUUCUUGUGUGUUAUCACUCAUGGCUGAAAGAGAAGUUUAAAACAGAAUAGCAAUAGAAAUGAUGAAAAGGAGAACUAAGAAGAGAUGCAAAUGAAAGAUUUCUUGCUAGUGUGUGUCUGUGGGAGAGAAGAAAGGUGGGUUAUAUAGA